rnacentral:rRNA from 1 species
GACGUAGGGCGCGAGCGUUGUCCGGAUUUAUUGGGCGUAAAGAGCUCGUAGGCGGCUUGUCGCGUCGUCCGUGAAAACUUGGGGCUCAACCCCAAGCUUGCGGUCGAUACGGGCAGGCUAGAGUUCGGUAGGGGAGACUGGAAUUCCUGGUGUAGCGGUGAAAUGCGCAGAUAUCAGGAGGAACACCGAUGGCGAAGGCAGGUCUCUGGGCCGAUACUGACGCUGAGGAGCGAAAGCGUGGGGAGCGAACAGG